rnacentral:rRNA from 1 species
UACGUAGGGUCCGAGCGUUGUCCGGAGUUACUGGGCGUAAAGGGCGCGUAGGCGGCGACUCAAGUUAGAUGUGAAAGUCCUGGGCUUAACCUGGGGACUGCAUUUGAUACUGGGUUGCUUGAAUUCGGGAGAGGAUAGCGGAAUUCCCAGUGUAGAGGUGAAAUUCGUAGAUAUUGGGAAGAACACCGGUGGCGAAGGCGGCUAUCUGGACCGACAUUGACGCUGAGGCGCGAAAGCGUGGGGAGCAAACAGG